AUGCUUGCUUCAGCAGCACAUAUACUAAAAUUGGAAUGAUCCAGAGAUUACCAUUGUCUCUGCACAAGGGUGACACGUAAAGUUGUGAAACAGUCUCCAUGUAU
ensembl:snRNA U6 U6 spliceosomal RNA